CAGAGGUAAACGGGUGGAGUUGAACUGCAUGCUCCGUGAAUUCAGCUGGUGAGGAUGUUUUGGGCUUGGUCAAGUGGGGUAGACGCUGAGGUAUGCCAUGCGGUGUGUCCCGAUCGAAAUCGGUUGGGAUGCAUGCUACGCUCAUCAUGCGUUGUGCGCUUCAGUUGUUUAUCUGCCCCCUCGCCAGUGCAUUUUCACGGAGCGAUCACCACGACCGGCGUUGCCGUCCGGCUGCUUUGGUCAAACUGUCCUCUCAUCGUCCAUGUGGCGUUGUCUGGUCGGGAUGGCAGGUGGCCCGUUGGCUUGCUUCGGCUCGCUUUCGGGUGUAAUUAGCUGGCCAAAGCGGUACUGUGCGGUGCGUCGGAGAUGGCGGCUCGUUGUGCGUACCGUCAUAACCUAUCUUCCGAGGGGUCCUGGUUUGGUUUCUAUGUCGCCUGUUUCGGCAGGUCGUGUUGUAGCCGGGAUCCUUUUGGUUGGUGGUUG
rnacentral:rRNA from 1 species